AUUGAACGCUGGCGGCAGGCCUAACACAUGCAAGUCGAACGAGUGGCGGACGGGUGAGGAAUGUCUGGGAAACUGCCUGAUGGAGGGGGAUAACUACUGGAAACGGUAGCUAAUACCGCAUACCAACCACUGGUCCCGGGUGGGAUUAGCUAGUGGGUGGGGUAACGGCUCACCAAGGCGAAGAUCCCUAGCUGGUCUUAGAGGAUGACCAGCCACACUGGAACUGAUACACGGUCCAGACUCCUACGGGAGGCAGCAGUGGGGAAUAUUGCACAAUGGGCGCAAGCCUGAUGCAGCCAUGCCGCGUGUAUGAAGAAGGCCUUCGGGUUGUAAAGUACUUUCAGCGGGGAGGCGUUACCCGCAGAAGAAGCACCGGCUAACUCCGUGCCAGCAGCCGCGGUAAUUC
rnacentral:rRNA from 1 species